CGAGAAGUAGCUCAGCUUGGUAGAGCACUUGGUUUGGGACCAAGGGGUCGCAGGUUCGAAUCCUGUCUUCUCGA
rfam:Lysinibacillus manganicus DSM 26584 contig70, whole genome shotgun sequence.